rnacentral:rRNA from 1 species
CAGCCGCCGCGGUAAUACAGAGGGUGCGAGCGUUAAUCGGAUUUACUGGGCGUAAAGCGUGCGUAGGCGGCUUCUUAAGUCGGAUGUGAAAUCCCUGAGCUUAACUUAGGAAUUGCAUUCGAUACUGGGAAGCUAGAGUAUGGGAGAGGAUGGUAGAAUUCCAGGUGUAGCGGUGAAAUGCGUAGAGAUCUGGAGGAAUACCGAUGGCGAAGGCAGCCAUCUGGCCUAAUACUGACGCUGAGGUACGAAAGCAUGGGGAGCAAACAGGAUUAGAGACCCCGGUAGUCCCUGUCUCUUAUAA